rnacentral:rRNA from 1 species
GAUGAACGCUGGCGGCGUGCCUAAUACAUGCAAGUCGAGCGAACAGAUAAGGAGCUUGCUCCUUUGACGUUAGUGGCGGACGGGUGAGUAACACGUGGGUAACCUACCUAUAAGACUGGAAUAACUCCGGGAAACCGGGGCUAAUGCCGGAUAACAUUUAGAACCGCAUGGUUCUAAAGUGAAAGAUGGUUUUGCUAUCACUUCUAGAUGGACCCGCGCCGUAUUAGCUAGUUGGUAAGGUAACGGCUUACCAAGGCAACGAUACGUAGCCGACCUGUGAGAGUGAUAGGCCACACGGGAGAUGAGACACGCUCAUGACUCCUACGGGAGGGAGCAGUAGGGAAUCUUCCGCAAUGGGCGAAAGCCUGACGGAGCAACGCCGAGUGAGUGAUGAAGGUCUUCGGAUCGUAAAACUCUGUUAUUAGGGAAGAACAAAUGUGUAAGUAACUGUGCCCGUCUUGACGGUACCUAAUCAGAAAGCCACGGCUAACUACGUG